UCACAUUACUAUCUGCCUUGUGUUUAUGGGCUGGGGGAUAUCACCUCAAGAUACUGGGUCCAUCACUUCAUGGGUUGGGGGCUAUCACCUCAAGAUACUAGGUCCAUCACUUCAUGGGUUGGGGGCUAUCACCUCAAGAUACUAGGUUCAUUAUUCUAUGGGUUGGGGGCUAUCCCCUCGAGAUACUAGGUUCAUUAUUCUAUGGGUUGGGGGCUCUCGCCUCGAGAUACUAGGUUCAUUAUUCUAUGGGUUUGGGGCUAUCCCCUCGAGAUACUAGGUUCAUUAUUCUAUGGGUUGGGGGCUAUCCCCUCGAGAUACUAGGUUCAUUAUUCUAUGGGUUGGGGGCUAUCCUCUCGAGAUACUAGGUUCAUUAUUCUAUGGGUUGGGG
rnacentral:lncRNA from 1 species